AGUGAACGCUGGCGGCGUGCCUAAUACAUGCAAGUCGAACGGAGUGGCGCACGGGUGAGUAAUGUAUAGCUAAUCAGCCCUACACUAGAGGACAACAGUUGGAACCGACUGCUAAUACUCUAUAGUGAAGGAUGAGGCUAUAUUGAAUAAGCUAGUUGGUGAGGUAAUGGCUCACCAAGGCUAUGACGGAUAACUGGUCAGAGAGGAUGAUCAGCAACCCUGGAAGUGAGACACGGUCCGGAAUCCUACGGGAGGCAGCAGUAGGGAAUAUUGCUCACUGGGGGAAACCCUGGAGGAGCAACGCAGCGUGAAGGAUGACAAUUUUCGAAGCAUAAACUCCUUUUUUUAGGGAAGCGGUACCUAACGAAUAAGCACCGGCUAACUCCGUGCCAGCAGCCGCGGUAAUAC
rnacentral:rRNA from 1 species